rnacentral:pre_miRNA from 1 species
GGAGCCAUAGGGAGGGACCCCAAUCUAGCCUUAGGAAAAGAAACCUUCCACAGGAGUCUUGGAGAUUGAUGACCAUCCUGAUAACUUA